GGUCUGUGGGCCCAACAGCUUGGGGUAGAGCGCUUGCCUGGCACACAGGCCUGGACUCCCUCCCACCAGCACUAAGACAACCCGACCAAAGUGAAAGCAGGCACAAUUGCUCAUUGAACUGUCUUGGAGCUUUUUUUUAUAUAUCGCUCUUUGAUAUGCUUUCUUCCACACUACACAGCAAGACUUCCAGUGCCCGAGUCUGCACCCCACUGCCCCACAUCUAGGGGGUGCUCUAGCUUUUCAGUGAUGGUCUGGGAAUAUAUCCACAGCAACCACUGAGUGCUAGCAACUGUGCUGCUCCACUCUUUCCAAUACAGAAAGGUUUUAGCGAAAACUUAUGAAUACUUCAGCCUACACAAAGAACUUUAGGUUGUACACCAGUGACCAAAUGUAUUUAGAAAAUAUCCAUUUAAUAUCCUUGCUUUUACUUACAUCUGAAACUGAGGAAGAUUUUCAGAGGGCAAUGCCAGAGCCAAAUCCAAAAACUUGCAGGCUGAGAGAUAGAGGUUUAACCACCUCUGGCUGUUGUAUGAUGUGGAGAAGCCAUUCCCUCCAGUGUAGGUUGUCUCCAGACCAGCCGCAGACGGCCCUGACGUCCUGGAACCAGACAGUGCUGUCAUCAGCAGGACCUUUGGCUCAUGGGAGUCCUGCAAAUGCUAAAGACCAACUUGUCUCUUCCACAGCCACACUGGUGACCAGGAAUUACAGUGCUCACGACUAAACUGUGUUUGAAGACUUCACUCGUCAGGCACUUAUAUCCUGUUGUGUCAGGCAGGGCUUCUCAGCUUGGAGCUUACCAAGCAGGGUAGGACAGUGAGUCCCAGGGACCAGCUUUGCCCACUUCCUCAGAGCAUGAGUGCAAAUGCAUGGACCACUCCUACCCUUUUCUGUUUUUAUUCUCUGUGUAUGAGUGUUUGGCUGCUGCAUACAUACACAAACAUGCACGCACACACACGCACACAGGUGCACACACGUGUGUACUGGAUGCCCUGGAAGUUAGAGUGACAGAUGGCUGUGAGCUGCCACGUGAGUGCGGGCAACUGAACCCAGUUCUCACUGCUUAGUCAUCUGUCCAGCUUGCACACGUAGACAUUUUACAUGAAAACUCAGGUCCUCAGACUCACAUGGUAAGCAUGACACACUGAGCUAGCCACUGCACACCCAACUGGGAACAUUCUGGAAGGUAUAUGGAUACCCUGGUCACAGUUUACCUGCCAUACUGGUAAAACUAUGUAUCUCAAGUUUUAGGUACUGGAUCUAAACUACCAAAACUAACAUGAGACUAACAUGACUAAUGUGCUUGAAAUAAUACUGAAUUAUAUUAAGUGGAUUCUUGUAUAGAGUAUAAGUGUAGAGGCUGACAUUCAUAAAUGAUAAUAAUUUAGUCUAUCAUGUUUCCUGACUAAAUAAAAUUACAUUCAAAC
rnacentral:lncRNA from 1 species